rnacentral:rRNA from 1 species
GAAGAACCUUACCAAGGCUUGACAUGAACCGGAAAUGCCUGGAAACAGGUGCCCCGCUUGCGGUCGGUUUACAGGUGGUGCAUGGUUGUCGUCAGCUCGUGUCGUGAGAUGUUGGGUUAAGUCCCGCAACGAGCGCAACCCUCGUUCUAUGUUGCCAGCGCGUUAUGGCGGGGACUCAUAGGAGACUGCCGGGGUCAACUCGGAGGAAGGUGGGGACGACGUCAAAUCAUCAUGCCCCUUAUGUCUUGGGCUUCACGCAUGCUACAAUGGCCGGUACAAAGGGUUGCGAUACUGUGAGGUGGAGCUAAUCCCAAAAAGCCGGUCUCAGUUCGGAUUGGGGUCUGCAACUCGACCCCAUGAAGUCGGAGUCGCUAGUAAUCGCAGAUCAGCAACGCUGCGGUGAAUACGUUCCCGGGUCUUGUACACACGC